rnacentral:lncRNA from 1 species
UGGCUUCAUAUCCAGAGGGUCUAUUUCAGUCCUAUUGAACAAGCUGAGCUGCAGGACGUGACUGGAAUCACUACUACUACUGUAAUAUACCAUACAUCUAUCAGACAGGACAGACAGAGGGAUACUACUACUGUAAUAUACCAUACAUCUAUCAGACAGGACAGACCGAGGGAUACUACUACUGUAAUAUACCAUACAUCUAUCAGACAGGACAGACCGAGGGAUACUACUACUGUAAUAUACCAUACAUCUAUCAGACAGGACAGACCGAGGGCUACUACUACUGUAAUAUACCAUACAUCUAUCAGACAGGACAGACAGAGGGAUACUACUACUGUAAUAUACCAUACAUCUAUCAGACAGGACAGACAGAGGGAUACUACUACUGCAAUAUACCAUACAUCUAUCAGACAGGACAGACAGAGGGAUACUACUACUGUAAUAUACCAUACAUCUAUCAGACAGGACAGACAGAGGAUACUACUACUGUAUAUACCAUACAUCUAUCAGACAGGACAGACAGAGGGAUACUACUACUGUAAUAUACCAUACAUCUAUCAGACAGGACAGACAGAGGGAUACUACUACUGUAAUAUACCAUACAUCUAUCAGACAGGACAGACAGAGGGAUACUACUACUGUAAUAUACCAUACAUCUAUCAGACAGGACAGACCGAGGGAUACUACUACUGUAAUAUACCAUACAUCUAUCAGACAGGACAGACCGAGGGAUACUACUACUGUAAUAUACCAUACAUCUAUCAGACAGGACAGACAGAGGGAUACUACUACUGUAAUAUACCAUACAUCUAUCAGACAGGACAGACCGAGGGAUACUACUACUGUAAUAUACCAUACAUCUAUCAGACAGGGAAGUCUCUCUCUCACACACACACACACACACACACACACACACACACACACACACACACAAUCUCCUGUGAGUUGUGUGUGUGUGUGGUGUGUGUGUGUGUGUGUGUGUGUGUGUGUGUGUGUGUGUGUGUGUGUGUGUGUGUGUGUGUGUGUGUGUGUGUAUCUGAGAGGUAUCCUGAGACUGGGACCUGUUCUAUCAAGCCACGCAAAUAA